UACGUAGGGUGCGAGCGUUACUCGGAAUUACUGGGCGUAAAGCGUGCGCAGGCGGUUUUGUAAGCCAGAUGUGAAAUCCCCGGGCUCAACCUGGGAAUGGCAUUUGGGACUGCAAGGCUGGAGUGCGGCAGAGGAGACUGGAAUUCCUGGUGUAGCAGUGAAAUGCGUAGAUAUCAGGAAGAACACCCGUGGCUAAGGCGGCUCUCUAGUACGGUACUGACGCUGAGACGCGAAAGCGUGGGGAGCGAACAGG
rnacentral:rRNA from 1 species